CGAAUUCGACGGCCAUGGCGAAGACAAGGACUUCAUCAGGUCUUCCCUUUCUCUCAGCCAUUUUAAUCGCUCUCUUCUUUUUCUUCCUAUCAGUCAAUUCCGCUCCAAUUUCGGAGCUCCCUGGUUUCUCCGGUUCUCUCCCUUCCAAGCACUACUCCGGGUAUGUGAGAGUCGACGAGAAGCAUGGGAGAAAUCUGUUCUAUUACUUCGUUGAAUCGGAGAGGAAUCCGAUUGAAGAUCCGGUGGUUCUUUGGCUUAAUGGCGGCCCUGGAUGCUCCAGUUUCGAUGGCUUCGUUUAUGAACAUGGG
rnacentral:misc_RNA from 1 species